rnacentral:rRNA from 1 species
UACCGAGGAGGUGGUUUCGGCGACGGUGACGGAGGGCCGAUGAAGAGGGUUUUCCGGCGACUCCACGUUUGGAGAAGGCGGUAAUGCAACUCAAGAGACAGGGGAUGGUAGUACUGAUGCGGCUAGAGGAAGUGCCUAUGUUAACGACUACAAUCGGGGAAAUAGGGGAAUAUAUCAAAGUAAGUAGGUAACGUUGGCCCCCGGCCGCCCGUCGUCCCGUUGCCGGCAGCGGCAGCGGCAGCGGCAGCCGGGCCGGUGGGUGAAGUGGUGUGGUGUGGUCCACCCCGAAGGAGGGGGAAGGAAAUGCGCUGCACAGUAGUGGGUUGCACGUCGACGAAAGGAGGGAGGACGAGGCGGCCCUAGGUGAGGUAGAGAGGGGGAGAGGGGGAUUUUAGUUUAGUUUUCUUUGUUUUAUAGAGAUGAGGAUUAAUUAGGUCGGUUAGACAAUUAAUUAAUUUAGCCCAAUUGAUUUAAGGAAAGGACUAGGAGCGAAUGUCGAGUCCGGCCUAAGCGUCGUCGUGCCGUGUCGGUCGUUUUAAGGAAGGAACGAGGGGGGAGGGAGGGCGUAGAGGAGGAGGAGGAGAGCGCAGCCGGCGGGCGGCGCUUAGGUAGGUAGGGGGAGGGGCGGCGUUGCGUUGCCCCCAGCCCCAGCCCCAGCCUCCCCCUGUCCGUCCCUCCUCCUCGAUGCGUUCGGAGCUUAGAGGGCUGGGGGGUGUCCCCGCCCCCGAUGUUUACCGGCGGCGACGGCUCGGCUGGCCUCCGCCCCCUCCGCUGCUCCAGCACCUCCUCUAGUUUCCUCCUCCUCCUCUCCCCCGGCGCCGCUGCCGCUGCCGCUGCCGCCGCCGCGUGUUGCCGCUCGCGGGGUGGCUGCUGCGGGGACCGGGGAGGCGCGGGCGCCGCAGGUGGAGAAGGCGGAGUCUAUUGCCUUUGGAGGUAUCUAGUUCGUGAUACGGUCCCCACUAGUUGCUAUGGCUCUAUUGACGACUUUGAUGUCCGGGUAGUUUAGACCUUUCCAGUUUUUGACUCUCCGCGUUUGUUUUAUUAGGUCGACUACUAGGAUGAUUUGUCAAUAACCUACUAUUCUAAAGGUAUUCCUUUUUCGAGUUUUACAAUUUAGCUUAUCGAUGUCACUUCCUACUACCUUGACACCAACAAUUACAUGGUUCAUGAGAUCUUCGCUGAGGUUAACUGCAACCUCGUCACCUACCGAUACUCCUACAACAACAACUUCUUAGUAAUCUACCUAGUCUAUAUGGUAUGUCUGGAGGUUAUGUCUAACAAUAUGAAUAGCACCCAUGUUCCCCUCUGCAAGUCGGUAAACAACGUUAUCCUUUUGCGAAUGUCCUAAUACCUGUGGCACACUCUAAUCGGUGAGUACGAUUGAUAUUCCUCAAGUAUGAGUGUCGACCCGACCUCAAAAAAGGUGACCCACCUCUAGGUUUUCAUGAACGACUUAUGUACCACUUCUUAUUUCCCAAGGAUGGAAGUCCGGGUAGUCUUUAAGGACAAGUUUCUUUUGUUUACUUUCUUUAAUAUAAAAGGGAUGACGGACGUACGUUCCUAGGACUGGGACUAUGGCCAUAACGAAAGUUUCACCUACGUUAAUAACGCUUGGGUGGUCGUAUACCUGUAUGUGUACACCGUCUCCGUGAUUUUCAUGGGUAAGUAUAUAAGAAAUGGUACGGUACCUGCGGUUGAUCGCUUAAAGGAGUAGGAGAAAGAGCUCACUUUUGUAGUCGACCUAUAGCUGAAAGAAUGGUUUAACAACUGAGAUACUAAACCGAACCCUAUGCACUAUACUAUUUGCUUAAGUCCUUUUUCUUCAACUUCGACGCAGGUCAUUGUAUGGAUUCACCACGUGUCCCAAGACCUUCACUGUAAGGAGUACCUAUGUAGACCUCGGGAGUGGAACAGGGUUUUGGCUUUCUGACCCCGGGGUUCUAGCUACAACAACCUAAAACGAAAGAGCUAGAACGCAGACUAAUGCAUGGUGGACUUCUUGAACACUUUACCGAACUUCGCCCACUGUUUGGGUAAAUACAACCAAAACCAUCGGAAGGUCAAGUUCUAGGUCGUUUCUACUGACUUUGGUAACAGUUCCGUGAGCUUUACUGACCUGUCUCUCCAUAGUAAUUGUUCCCAACCCCACCGGAGCCUUGUAACCGUCUUGGUUUUCUAAGGUAUAUACAAGAACUGUUGACGGGAGUGCUGACCGAAAAGGACGUCACAUUCCGUCACCAUGUGGUACCACCACGACCUUGCUGCCGACGGCCGGACUUUCGUCGCACAGGAUGUUGAUAACAUGGAAAGAAACCGCUGGUUGGUAAGACCCCUCUCGCCCACGUACGAUCUCCCCAUCCCGGAAGCGGAUAUGGCCAACUAGUUAAGUGAAACGUCUUCAACCAACUACGAUAUUUUAAGUACAACCUAGGUCUCCACUUUCUUUUCCGACACCUCGAACGGUUCCGGUACCUUAGUCUUCUGCCACAUUGCCCGCGUCAGUCCCGUAAGGAGUUUGUGGACGGGACAUUUUGUCUACUUUUAAGUGGGGGUGGUUGCGUGCCGAAAGAUCUCAAGGAUCCGGGUCAUUCAUUUACAAACCCCACGAGAAUCCACGACCAGUCUACGUCCAUAUGGUAAGGAGGGACGACUUUCUUCUCACAUUUUUUUCCGAGAACCCACUGGCGAUACGGUAACACACGCUAUUCUUACACCUUCGGUUUACAAUCUUCAACUACAUGUACGUACGCUGGUCCUCGGGCACUAAAUAGCAAAACGCAAAAAAACAUACACACAACACAUUUCUCAUAAACAGACUACUAAAAUUAUGUAGUAAAACCACACCAACGUUGGAACCGGACGUCGUUGGCUACUAGAGAGUACAUACUGGUCCGUUGGACACAUAUACCAUUUGAACUUUCUCCCUUCUAAACAAGUGAAUGAGGAAAACGUCAAAUGCUGUACCAUACUAAACUUUGACGGUCCGAAUACUAAUAACAAAGUUCAAAAAGGAACAAGACGUACGUCCCCUUUCAUUAAAACCAUAGGGUAUAAGAGGAAAAAGGGCUCAAGGG